ACCCGGCGCGGUGGCGCACGCCUGUAGUCCCAGCUACUAGGAGGAUCGCAGGGGUCCAAGAGUCCCGGGCUGUAGCGCGCUAUGCCAAUCUGGUGUCCGCACUAAGUUUAGCAUCAAUAUGGUGACCUCCCGGGAGUGGGGGACAACCAGGUUGCCUAAGGAGGGGUGAACCGGCCCAGGUCGGAAACGGAGAGGGUCAAAAAUCCGGUGCUGAUCAACUAACUAUUCCCAUGCUUCCAAAUUUAUCUCUGCUCAGACUGCUCCUCGCGCG
rfam:Mesocricetus auratus contig071944, whole genome shotgun sequence.